AUGGAUUGCGGAGUCCCAGCGUUGGGGAUUCCCCAUCUCCGCAGUUUCUCUUCUUCUCACAACCUGCGUCGUGUCCUUCUUCCUGGAUACUCACGACGCGAACCCCGUUCUCACUCCCAUUGGGUGUCGGGUUUCUAGAGACGCCAAUCAGUGUCGCCGCAGUCCCGGUUCUAAAGUCCCCACUCACCCACCAGGACUCAGAUUCUCCGCAGACGCCGAGGAUGUUGGUCAUGGCGCCCCGAACCCUCCUCCUGGUGCUCUCAGGGGCCCUGGCCCUGACCCAGACCCGGGCAGGCUCGCACUCCAUGAGGUAUUUCUACACCUCCGUGUCCCGGCCCGGCCGCGGGGAGCCCCGCUUCUUCGCCGUGGGCUACGUGGACGACACGCAGUUCCAGCGGUUCGACAGCGACGCCGCGAGCCAGAGGAUGGAGCCGCGGGCGCCGUGGGUGGAGCAGGAGGGUCCAGAGUAUUGGGACCGGGAGACACGGAACAUGAAGGCCGAGACACAGAAUGCCCCAGUGAACCUGCGGAACCUGCGCGGCUACUACAACCAGAGCGAGGCCGGUGAGUGACCCCGGCCCGGGGCGCAGGUCACGACCCCUCCCCAUCCCCCAC